AUAGCUUGCUAAUUUCAUUCUUAGUGGCGGACGGGUUAGUAACACGUGAGAUACAUACCCUUUAGACAGGAAUAGCCCAUGGAAACGUGGAUUAAUGCCUGAUAGACUCUACGGAGUAAAGGAUGCCUUCGGGUAUCGCUAAAGGAUUGGCUCGCGGCCUAUCAGCUUGUUGGUGAGGUAAAGGCUCACCAAGGCGACGACGGGUAGCUGGUCUGAGAGGACGAUCAGCAACACUGGAACUGAGACACGGUCCAGACACCUACGGGUGGCAGCAGUCGAGAAUCAUUCACAAUGGAGGCAACUCUGAUGGUGCAACGCCGCGUGGAGGAUGACGGUCCUAGGAUUGUAAACUCCUGUCAUUGGGGAGUAAGACUUAAGCGUUAAUAGCGCCUUAAGUUUGAUAGUACCCAAAGAGGAAGGGACGGCUAACUUCGUGCCAGCAGCCGCGGUAAUACGA
rnacentral:rRNA from 1 species